AUGCCCUUCGUAGUGUACAUGGAUUUGCAAAACAAUGGGAUAAAGGAAUAUUCCUGAACUUUAGGAUUUAUCUCAUGGUUGCUUACUGUGAAAUUGUGUGACUGCAUCGAUGCAGUGCAUGUUAUCUCAGUUUGCAGAGCUU